rnacentral:rRNA from 1 species
UACGUAGGCAGCAAGCGUUGUUCGGAAUUACUGGGCGUAAAGAGUGUGUAGGCGGUGCUCUAAGUCCUGUGUGAAAUCCCCCGGCUCAACUGGGGAACUGCACAGGAAACUAGCGGGCUUGAGUUCGGGAGAGGGAAGCGGAAUUCCGGGUGUAGCGGUGAAAUGCGUAGAUAUCCGGAGGAACACCGGUGGCGAAGGCGGCUUCCUGGACCGACACUGACGCUGAGGCGCGAAAGCUAGGGGAGCAAACGGG